CUCUGUGAGCCAGGCCUGGCUGUGGCCUGGAUUGGCUUGAAAGGCUGUUGUGUGCCAGAGACUCCCUGAGGGAAGACAAACAUCCAUUAUCUGUAGCAUUCAAAUACAAAAAGCAGAACUGAACUCGAGGAGACAGUCAAGGCCAUGAAAAUCUUCACCCUAAUGGCAUAGUUGCUGUACUGCUUCACAGUGAUAUACAGUCUGGUUCUAGCCCCAAGAAUUGAGGAGUUGGAAAAAAGCAGGACUGUGACACAGAAGAGAAUACAUGCUUGCAAAGGAGCAUGCUUAAUAUUGGAGGAGUGGUGUAUGGAUGGGGAAACAAAUUCUAAAACCACUGAACCGUGCUUCACAUUUGAUACACUACGUGCAGAAAAGGGAAAAUGGCAGGGUGGCAUUUCUGCCCAGUCACCACUCAGAUGAUGUGGGUGCUUUGUUUGCGAAGUGCAACUUUUACCCUGCACUAAAUGGGUUCUCAA